rnacentral:rRNA from 1 species
AGAACGAACGCUGGCGGCAGGCUUAACACAUGCAAGUCGAACGCGUGUAGCAAUACACGAGUGGCGCACGGGUGAGUAACACGUGGAUAUCUGCCUUUUGGUUCGGGAUAACCCUGGGAAACUAGGGCUAAUACCGAAUGGUUCCUACGGGAUAAAGAUUUAUCGCCAAAAGAUGAGUCCGCGUCCGAUUAGCUAGUUGGUGAGGUAAUGGCUCACCAAGGCGACGAUCGGUAGCUGGUCUGAGAGGACGAUCAGCCACACUGGGACUGAGACACGGCCCAGACUCCUACGGGAGGCAGCAGUGGGGAAUAUUGGACAAUGGGGGCAACCCUGAUCCAGCCAUGCCGCGUGAGUGAUGAAGGCCUUCGGGUUGUAAAGCUCUUUUGGCGGGGACGAUGAUGACGGUACCCGCAGAAUAAGCCCGGCUAACUUCGUGCCAGCAGCCGC